rnacentral:rRNA from 1 species
ACGACCAUAGACUCAAUAGAACUGGGCAUCCCGUCCGCUCUGCCAUACAUAACCUUGAGAUCGGUGGAUUAGUAGUUGGGUGGGUGACCACCAGCGAAUACCCACUGUUGUAUGUU